AGCUCCAAUAGCGUAUAUUAAAGUUGUUGCAGUUAAAAAGCUCGUAGUUGGAUUUCUGGUAGGAGUGACCGUGCCGGACUUGAUUGUCCGUGUAUUGUGUUGUCUCCAGCCAUCCUCGUGGAAAACUUUUCUAACAUUAACUUGUUGGGAUUGGGACCCACGUCGUUUACUGUGAAAAAAUUAGAGUGUUUAAAGCAGGCAAUCGCUUGAAUACAUUAGCAUGGAAUAAUAAGAUAGGACUUUGGUACUAUUUUGUUGGUUUGCAUACCAAAUUAAUGAUCAACAGGAACAGUUUGAGGAUAUUCGUAUGAACAUGUCAGAGGUGAAAUUCUUGGAUUUUGAUCAGACGAACUACUGCGAAAGCAUUUAUCAAGGAUGUUUUCAUUA
rnacentral:rRNA from 1 species